rnacentral:rRNA from 1 species
UACGGAGGAUGCGAGCGUUAUCCGGAUUUAUUGGGUUUAAAGGGUGCGUAGGCGGCUUUUUAAGUCAGCGGUGAAAUUUUGCAGCUUAACUGUAACAGUGCCGUUGAUACUGGGGAGCUAGGAUUUGGUUGCUGUGGGUGGAAUGUGUGGUGUAGCGGUGAAAUGCUUAGAGAUCACACAUAAUAUCGAUUGCGAAGGCAGCUCACAGAGCCAAGAUUGACGCUGAGGCACGAAAGUGUGGGGAUCAAACAGGA